CCCUACAUGGCAUAACCCCUUAAUUACCUUUCCAAUUCCCCUAUUCGGUACCACAUUACCCCUAAAUCUACACACUGUUUAUGUCAACCUCUACUCACCAUGCUAUCGUCAAUCAUCAGGCAUUUGCACAUAUAGGAUGCUGCCUAGAAUGUUUCUCUCUGCCUUCUUUGCCUAAUUAACCCCUGCUUAUACUUCAUAUUUCAGUGUGAGUGUCAUUUCCCAGAGAUCCUAUUUCCCACCUCCCGAAUCCUCCCAUUACAGGCUCACAUGCUAAGCACCAAGUGCCUUUCAGGUAUUACAAUUGUCCAUGUUGAGGUCAUGCAUUUGUUUGGGUUAUAGCUUGAUAGCCCUUUGUUCACUCUUCUCAGCCCCAUGAGGGCUGAAUCAAUGUCUCAUCUUUCUUUUAUAUCUCCACUGCCUAAAAAAUGUCCCGGCACCUGGUAUGUACUUAAUAAGUAGUUGUUUAAGGCACACAUGAUAAAUAAGAAGUAGAAUAGGGUGGUGGUAGAGGUACAAAUUGAAGAGAAAGAGUAGGAUAGGCAUUUUAAAAGAAUAAUCCAUAGAAACAAAGGAGAGUGAUGAAUAAAAGAUGAUGCCAAAGAUUUUUGUUUGGAGGGCUAGGAGAGCUAGUGCCAUUGGCCAUAGCAAAGGGGAACAUGAGGUGGAGGGGGCAGGUAGAUUUAACACUGUAAAGGUAGAAAUACAGCAGACUCAGAGACACAGAUGUGGGACUUAUCUACAUAAAAAGGAUGAUUAAGAAUGAAGAAUAUCCCACACUGCUUGUGUAUAUAUAGCUUCCUGAGCUUAGAGUAACACUCAUGAUGUAUCGUACUGACUUCUCCCCAAGCAGGAGCAUGAUUUAUCUGACUUCGUGUGACAGUGACGUUCACUGGUUCAUGCCUUUCGACUGGGUAAAUCUUAUCUAUUUAAAGGCUAAAAGAUUCUGGAGAUUCAGCACCCUCUAUUUUUUGGAAGACAGCAAUUCUGGGAAAAUGGAUGACCAAAAAGAAUUAAAUAAUUCAAUGAUUUCCCUGGAAUCAGCAAACCACAUUGGAGUAACUGUUUGAGUAUGAGUCUUAGAUCUUUGGUUGGACCCCAGAGUUCCUGCAGGAAAACAAAUCUGUAUUACAGGGCCCUAAUGGAUCCAUAUUCCCAGCCCCUUGAGGUUGAGCAAUGCAGCGUGAAGGGAAGCUUCCAGAUGGAAGCCCUUAGGAGAUGGUGCUGACUCCCCUCAGCAUGAAGCAAUACCUUGCACUCCUAAGUAAAGACAACACAGAACAGCACUCACCACUGACAUGGACAUGUUGCAGGAGCAAGGAAGACAAACAAGCAAACAAAAUCCAAACCUUAUGUUGCUGAAAGCCUCUGAGAUUUUUAAGGAUUUUUGUUACUGCAACACAUUCUACUCUAUCUUAAACAAUAACCAGAGUCUAUUUAUAUGUGAGAAUCAAAUGAUGCCAUUUCUUUACAUAACUUACUCUCAUUCCUACUUAUUAUUUAAUCCACAGAAAGAUCAAAGAUGUGAACAGUAAUAUACUGUGAUGAUCCUGCUGGCUCUGCCUGUAUCUUCAGCAGGAAUGUCUAGGGAAAGGAAUUUAGUCCAUCAGCAUUAAAAUUGUGAAUUUGGGUGAGAAAAAAAAAAAGAAUAGCUGAGACAUGGUGAAGAAAAACAUGAGAAAUGCAUUUAGUUUGGAAGAGGAUUCUAUCUGAAAAGAGUUAGUGCCUAAGGCCCGACAGACUCAUGUUGCUGUUACUUUAUUUUUUUCAGAAGAUAGGAAGAAGCAGAAAUGACUACAUCAUAUGCAGUCCAAUAAAUCUGAUCAUUUUUGGAGCAGAGGACUUAUUAGUUAUUGAGUCCCAACUGCACACUUUAGUUAGUGCUGUGGAGAUCUAAAAGGGAGGCCUGGGCAGGAAUUCCUUCUCUCCAUGUUCUUCCCUCUCAGGUUGGUCUUGAGGUCACUGAUUUCAGAUACCAUUAGGCAGGUUCAACGUGUAUUCAAAUUUGUUUCCCCCAUGUUUUCAUGUAGAUGGUGUAAAAAAUAAUUUCUUAAAGAUAUUAAUUAGCUCAAGUGGAUUCAAACUAUGCACUAUAGGUGUUCUCAGGAGAAAGAAAAAGGAAGGUAAAUUGAGUAGUUACUUAUGUGUGUGUAUAUACAUUAUAUACUGAAGGCACAUCCGACAGAUGCACAUAAUUACAAUAGUCCCAUUAUAAAAAUAUUCACCUUGUCUUCAUAUUAAAGAGAAUGAAAAAAGAAAAGUAUCAGUGGCAUUUCCAAGUUUUCAUAUCAAGUCCCUAGUUUUGGAAAAUUUGAAAUCAAAGAUUUAAUAACUGGUCAAAUUCUCACAGUGAUUAAAAAUAUCAUAUACCUUACUUUUAAUUUAAUGAACUAGCUCACAUCAACUCUUAUAUUCUAUGCUUUAUUUCUAUUUAUGAUACUAAAACUGAGACUUUAUGAUAUAUGUUCCUUGCUCUUUAUAAAAUUCAAUAUAUCCAAAUAUGUUUUUCGCAUAUAACUAAAACAUUUAUUACAAACAUCCUUUAAAUAGUAAGCCCUCGAUGAAUUUAAAUGCUGAUGGUCCAUCAACUGAUUCACAGAGAAUCUUGAAGGGCAAAAACUGAUGAAGGUGUUAUAUGGAGCAGUGCCAAUUGCAAAUCAAUCAGAAAUGCAAAUAAAAUAGCUCUCCUACUGCAAGUCAAUGUAAUUAGGUUUACCCUUAUUUGAUUUGCACAAAACUUUUCAGAAAUUUGCCUACUGAAUAAAUGACACGUAUGCAUAAAAUUAA